rnacentral:rRNA from 1 species
CCUACGGGCGGCAGCAGUGAGGAAUAUUGGUCAAUGGGCGGGAGCCUGAACCAGCCAAGUCGCGUGAAGGAAGAAGGUACUUAGUAUUGUAAACUUCUUUUGUCGGGGAACAAAGGCGGAGACGCGUCUCCGGAUGAGUGUACCCGAAGCAAAAGCAUCGGCUAACUCCGUGCCAGCAGCCGCGGUAAUCCGGAGGAUGCGAGCGUUAUCCGGAUUUAGUGGGUUUAAAGGGUGCGCAGGCGGGAGAUCAAGUCAGCGGUAAAAUGUCGGGGCUCAACCCCGGCCGGCCGUUGAAACUGGUUGUCUAGAGUUGGAGAGAAGUAUGCGGAAGUCGUGGUGUAGCGGUGAAAUGCAUAGAUAUCACGAAGAACCCCGAUUGCGAAGGCAGCAUACCGGCUCCAUACUGACGCUGAGGCACGAAAGCGUGGGGAUCGAACAGGAUUAGAUACCCCAGUAGUC